AUCUAGGGGCAUACCACCCUGACCCCGCCUGAUCUCACCUGAUCUCAGAAGCUAAGCAGCGUGGGGCCUGGUUAGUACUUGGAUGGGAGACAGCCUAGGAACACCAGGUGCUGUAGGCA
ensembl:rRNA 5S_rRNA 5S ribosomal RNA